CUUCAAGAGGGUGUUAUAAAAUCUGGGGUUCAUUUAUUCUGCAGGGCAAGGGUAUCUUGUAAGCAUUUAUAAAUCAAGCAGCAUGGGCAAGGUUUAAAGGGUGUGGAUUAUUGCAAAACAUUACGUCACAAUGGGGCAUUCCAGCUUGCCAGAUGCUAUUCCAAACACUAUGACCACUUCACUGACUUGAAGUGGUAUUGGUGCCCGGAGUCUGUAUGUGCAGAGGUUUGGUAUGCAAUGCUACACUUACAGAGCUUAAUCCCUCUGUAACUCUACCUGCAGCUGCGUCAUUGGAGCGUCAUUAGCUAGCCCAGUACAAGGGUUCUCGGUCACUAAUGUGAAUUUGGCAUCACAAAUUAAUGUGAUUUGCAAAAUUGAGGCUAAAAUAGGCUAGCUGUAAUUACAGAGGACUUGGAAAACCUUUUUCACCAUUUAUUUAAUCCUUAAUUUUGCAAUUUGUAUUUAUUUCACCAAAAUUCAG